UUUUGACAUCCAAAACCCAGACUGCGAGUGAUUUUAUAAAACUUGUCAAAAAAGUAACACAAGAUUAUAAAAUAAACUUAAUUCUAACAGACCAAUAUCCCGGUCUAAAUUCAAAGGAUUUCAAAUUUUUUUUAGAAAAAGAAGAUAUACCUAUAGUUUUCACAGCAGUAAAUGCACCAUUUUCAAAUGGAUUGAACGAAAGGUUAAACCAAACGUUGGUUAACAAAAUUCGUUGCAAGAUCAAUGAAAAAAAGGACAAAAUUGCUUGGACAACUAUUGCUCACGAAUGCACUGAAAAAUAUAACGAAACUGAACAUAGUGUGACAGGGUUCUCUCCAAAAUAUUUAUUGGAGGGAAAAAAUGUUGACAUUCUACCAGACGAACUGAAGCAAAAUAUAACACAUAAUCAUCUAUUGCGAGACCGAAAAAUUGCGUUAGAAAAUAGUAUGAAAUCCCACAAUUAUAAUAAACAAAGAUUUGAUAAAAACAGAAAACAUUAUGAAUUAAAAGUUGGAGAUUUUGUGUAUGUGGAAAACGGAAACCGGUUAAACCGAAAAAAACUAGACGAAUUGAAAAUAGGACCUUAUCAAAUAGAAGACAAAAUAUCCAAUUCAAUCUAUAAAGUUAGCACAGGUCACAAAAAACCAGAGUCGAAUCUCUUUCAUAUAACAAAACUUAUUCCAGUAAUAGAGUGACACAAUAGACUUUUGUAAAUUAGAAGGGGGGGAGAUGUAAACAAAGUGCGUGACACUUCAUUUAGUUUGUAAACUUUUUGGUUUGUGAAAUAGCUAAUCUAUGGAGUAAGCUGUCAUAUUGAAUGACAGCGAAAAAUAUGAAAAGUAAAAUGGUUAAUUGUUAUGUACAAGUAAGAUUGAUUUUUAAUGUAAUUAUAAUUAUUAAUAAGAAAUGGUGAAACAAUAGCUUUAAAUGUUGUUUCUCUUUUCAGAGCAACUAAACAUUGGUUAUAUAGUUUUACUGUUCAACAUCGUCUAAGGACAAUAUAAUCAAUAAUUUCAUAUUAUA